UGGCGAACGGGUGAGUAACACGUGGGUAAUCUGCCCAUCAGAAGGGGAUAACACUUGGAAACAGGUGCUAAUACCGUAUAACACUAUUUUCCGCAUGGAAGAAAGUUGAAAGGCGCUUUUGCGUCACUGAUGGAUGGACCCGCGGUGCAUUAGCUAGUUGGUGAGGUAACGGCUCACCAAGGCAACGAUGCAUAGCCGACCUGAGAGGGUGAUCGGCCACACUGGGACUGAGACACGGCCCAGACUCCUACGGGAGGCAGCAGUAGGGAAUCUUCGGCAAUGGACGAAAGUCUGACCGAGCAACGCCCGCGUGAGUGAAAGAAAGGUUUUUCGGA
rnacentral:rRNA from 1 species